rnacentral:lncRNA from 1 species
ACUAGUUCUGACCCCUUAAAAUGGAAGAGCUAUUUGCUAGAAGGGGCUUGUAAAUCACAGCAGUUACAGGAGACAUGUUUAGAAUUCAGAGUCAACAGAGAGAGAUUAGCAUAGACAGCAAUGCAAACAGUGUUUCCAUUUUUUUGUUCAUCUUCUUUAUAUCAACACAGAGAAGACUGGGAAUGAAAGGCAAGAAGCUCCAGAAAGAAUCUGGAGAAAUUUACAGAAGAAAGAGAACCAAUAACCAUGCCCCAGGUAUAAAGAACACAAACAUCUAGGUUUGGAUGUUGACAUAUAUAUACUUUACACAUCUUGCAUCUUUUAAUCCUCAAAACGACCCUGCCGAAUAGAUGCGUGUUUUCCCAUUUAUCGACCAGAAAAUUUAAACUCAAGAUACUUUCCUGAGUGAACUUUUGGUGUCCCCUUUCAUAAUAUAAGCUCCAGAAAGCGGAAGUUCAAUUAAACCAGAAAAACCUGUUUAAUUGAAGCCAACCAUUGUUUAUUGAACACUGAUUGGUGGAAAGCACUGUGAUCGAAAACAGACACAUAGAAAAUAAUGAAGUGGCUUAAAAAAUUCUUUCUUGGAUAAUGAAAAACCUGUAUCAUAUAGAAGAAUAGAAGACUGCUUCCAAACAUCCUCUGACUUGGAAGACAGUUACACAUUUGUCUGUUACGUAUUUCUCAUCCAGAAGCAAAUAUUAACCAGUCAACAUCGAAUGCCAUUUGAUUUCAUCCCCUUUGGCUUGGAAAACCUAUGACUACCCACACUCAGGGGCCAUCGGCAUGGAAAGUAUUAGUUCCUGUGCAGCCCAGGAGCUCUAUAGGAAGCGGUGGAAUCCCAAAGAAAGACAAAAUGGCAGCCAAAGCUGGUUCAGUUGGUUUCAAGCCUGUUCAAUUUGCUGUAACUGAAUAAAUGCAUAUAGAAGACUUUUGGUGUGCAGAGCCCUAGUAAGCAUCAUUGUGUUGUGU